GCGUUCUUAGCUCAGUUGGUAGAGCGCCACUUUGACGUAGUGGAGGCCAAUGGUUCAAAUCCAUUAGGACGCA
rnacentral:tRNA from 1 species